rnacentral:rRNA from 1 species
GACGUAGGAUGCAAGCGUUGUCCGGAUUUAUUGGGCGUAAAGAGCUCGUAGGCGGUCUGUCGCGUCGGCUGUGAAAUCCCGAGGCUCAACCUCGGGUCUGCAGUCGAUACGGGCAAACUAGAGUAUUGCAGGGGAGACUGGAAUUCCUGGUGUAGCGGUGAAAUGCGCAGAUAUCAGGAGGAACACCGGUGGCGAAGGCGGGUCUCUGGGCAAUAACUGACGCUGAGGAGCGAAAGCGUGGGGAGCGAACAGG